AAAAUUUUUUGAAGCAAUGACAAUGCACGAAUCACUGCGUGGUAUUCGUACAAUGACUGAUAUUUUUACAAAAUAUAAAGUUGUAUUAUUCUCUAGAAGAAAUUGUCCAAAAUGUCAAACGACCAAGGAAAUAUUGGAUCAUUUACGAUUAAAUUACAAGAUAAUCGAUUUGGAUGAUUAUCAUAAAGCUAUUGAAUUAAAGGAAGUAUUACAGAAUGUAACAGGCAUACGUACUGAUUUAUUACCGCAAUUGUUUGUCGACGGAAAAUGUGUUGGAAGUGGUACAGCGAUACAAGAAAUGUACAAGAAGGGAAUUUUAAAGAAACGUGUUUCGUGCUUGUUUUGAAAACUUGAAGAGAGAAUGUAUAAAAAAACUGAAAAAAGUAUUAUUAGAAUCUAAAAGAUUAUUAUUAUGUAAUUUCGAGAACUCCAAAUUUUGUUGGAAUACAAAAGAAACGACAAAUGUAUAAUGGAAAAACAACAGUUUUCUUAUGGUUUCCAUCUGUUUCCUGUCAUAUUUGUUAACAAAUGGCGAAGUCCAACGUUUACUU